AAGAGAAGCCUCUCAAUUCGUGGAGCUCUCGCCUCUCGAGAUAGUAUUUCAGGGACGAUUCCAUUCAAAUCGUUGAGCUUGAAGCACUCAGAGCGCGGUUUCUUCGUGGACUCGGUGGCACUGGCUAAGCAGAUCUGGAAGGUAAGCAAACUGGAGUCUCUAGAAGCUUCGAUUGAAGCUGCAUUCGAAGCUAUCAGAUCUCGUGGAACUAAUUCUCAUGUCGUUCUAAGUCAUUACGGUUGGAGAAUUUAAGUGCCUGCUUGGUGCUAAACCAACUCUUAAGAAGGAACUGAUAGGUGCACCCAUUGUGACUCAUCCAAAAUCAUUGAAAUUGCCAAAGGAGUUUGAUACAAGGACUCAAUGGUCUCAGUGUAGUACCAUUGGAACAAUUAUAGAUCAGGAUCAUUGUGGUUCUUGUUGGGCAUUUGGUGCUGUAGAGUCAUUAUCAGAUUGAUUUUGCAUUCAUUUUGAUGUGUGGGUGGUGAAUCUGGUAGAAGGAGCUACUCUAGUGCCAAGUUACCAUUCAAUUUCAAAUGCUUGCUAGAUGAAGUGUUUAGUGAGUGCUCAAUCUAGAUUGCUUAUGGAGAUGAUGUACCUUCAUUACUUCAACAGCAUAUUGUGAAAGGAGAGAUUAUAGACUCCUUAUGGAGGGGUCAGAUGGCUUUAUCAGAAGAUGAACAAAUCAAGAGCCAAGAACAAAGGUUUCUGCUUAAUGGUUUGGGAAGUUUCGAAGAAGGCAAUGCAAUGUACAGAUCUGAAGACAACUCUGGGGGAUGCUGCCAAACAAAUUUGAAUGUCAUCAUCAUGCUUCCCUACAACUGUACUAAUAGAUUUCAUAUCCAAACCCAAGUGAUGACAUUUCAUUCAAUGUCAUAAAUCCUACUUUGUAUCUUGUGCACAAGAAAUUUAUGGAUUUCUUAUGAUUUAUGAAUCAUGUGCAUCCUUUAUUGAUAAGUCAUAUUUGCUCUUUCUGAACAAUUCUUUUAAGCAUAUGUCAUAUAAUGAUGCCUUCUAGAUUGAUUAUUCAGCUUUGUGAAACCGAAAAUUAUUAUUCACUUCCAACUAUCAAUUGCUUUGAUGAAGAACUUUAUUGAAUUUAUUCACUAUUACAUGCUUUAUUAAGGACAAGAGAAUAUCUUGAAUAAUACUGUUGAUGUAACUAGGAUGAUGGUUCUAGAGCUCAUAACAGGGAGAAAGAUGAUCUCAACCAUGCAAUGUCACGAUCUUCAGCAGAAGAUUUAAAGCGACCAAAUGGAUAUAAUUGGGGGACAGACAAUGAUGAUUAUGGAAAAGCAUUUCAAGAUAGUUUGAACUCAUCUGCAUACCCUCCAUAUUUUAUUUGUUAGCUUUUUAAACUUUGAUUUUAUUUUUAUGUUUUAUUGAACUUUAUUGAAUUUAUUCAUCAUUACAUGCUUUAUUGACAGACCCAAGUGUCUUGUUUUAUAUUUCAAAGUAUUUUUGUGUUAAAUUUUGUUCAAAUAUGUAAUAUUUUAAUUUCCUUCUAAAUUUUUAAUGUCUUAUUUAAAGAUUUCUUUUAAAUGAUAAUUGAUUAGUAGUAUAAUAAUGUAAUUCUAGUAUUCAGAUUAAUUG